UCUAAUAUGGCAGAUUAGUGCAAUGAACUUAAGCUUCAUAUAUAAAGUCUUUAACUUUUUUUAGAA
rnacentral:tRNA from 1 species